CCGUAGCUUAAUUGGAUAGAGCAUCUGACUACGGAUCAGAAGGUUGUGAGUUCGAGUCCCGCCGGG
rnacentral:tRNA from 3 species